GCAAAUUUAUGGCUAGUAAGAGUCUGAAUGAAAUAAAACUAAGAAAAAAAAUUGUAGUCAUUUCCAAAUAUGAUGUGAAGGGGAAAUAGCAAAGGGCAUCAUACAAUGAUUGAGUAAAGCAGUUGUGGAACAAGCUCAGUCAGUCCAGCAGAAAGCCAUCUUCCCCUUCACUAAGUCAACUAGUAGCUAAAAAAACUAGUUCAACACCCAUUGAUCUCACAUAUAAUGCUCCUAAACCAGGUGGGAACAUGAACCCCAAAGAAUUUAAAAAUGCAG
rnacentral:lncRNA from 1 species